GACAUGCAAGUCGAGCGAGAUUCCUUUAAUUGAUCCCUUCGGGGUGAUUUUAUUGGAUGAUAGCGGCGAACGGGUGAGUAACACGUGAGCAACCUGCCCUAAAGAUCGGGAUAGCCCGCCGAAAGGUGGAUUAAUACCGGAUGUGGUCCUUGAAGACAUCUUCAAGGUACUAAAGCUUGUAAUGGCGCUUUAGGAGGGGCUCGCGGCCUAUCAGCUUGUUGGUGAGGUAACGGCUCACCAAGGCUAAGACGGGUAGCUGGUCUGAGAGGAUGAUCAGCCACACUGGGACUGAGACACGGCCCAGACACCUACGGGUGGCAGCAGUUUCGAAUCAUUCACAAUGGGGGAAACCCUGAUGGUGCAACGCCGCGUGGGGAAUGAAGGCCUUCGGGUCGUAAACCCCUGUCACAAGGGACUAAACGUAUGGCUCAUACCCAUACUUGAAUUAACCUUGAGAGGAAGAGGUGGCUAACUCCGUGCCAGCAGCCGCGGUAAUACGGAGACCUCGAGCGUUACUCGGAUUUACUGGGCGUAAAGGGUUCGUAGGCGGACCAAUGUGUCGGGUGUGAAAUCCCACGGCUUAACCGUGGAACUGCGCUCGAAACUAUUGGUCUAGAGUACUGGAGAGGUGAGUGGAAUUC
rnacentral:rRNA from 1 species